AUUGAACGCUGGCGGCAGGCCUAAUACAUGCAAGUCGAGCGAGCGGCGGACGGGUGAGUAAUGUCUGUGAAACUGCUUGAUGGAGGGGGAUAACUACUGGAAACGGUAGCAAAUACCGCAUACCAUCAGAUGUGCCCAGAUGGGAUUAGCUAGUAGGUGGGGUAAUGGCUCACCUAGGCGACGAUCCAUAGUUGGUCUGAGAGGGUGACCAGCCACACUGGAACUGAGACACGGUCCAGACUCCUACGGGAGGCAGCAGUGGGGAAUAUUGCACAAUGGGCGAAAGCCUGAUGGAGCCAUGCCGCGUGUGUGAAGAAGGCCUUCGGGUUGUAAAGCACUGUCAGCGAGGAGGCGUUACUCGCAGAAGAAGCACCGGCUAACUCCGUGCCAGCAGCCGCGGUAAUAC
rnacentral:rRNA from 1 species